CUUUGGACUUCCAAAGGUGGCACACUGCUGAGUAACACGUAGUCAAUCUACCCUAAGGACGGGGACAACCUCGGGAAACUGAGGACAAUACCCGAUAUUCCAUCUAUGCUGGAAUGCUUGAUGGUUAAAACGGGCGGCGAAUUGGAGCCGUUCCGCCAUAGGACGAGACUGCGGGGGAUUAUGGUAGUUGGUAGGGUAACGGCCUACCAAGCCGAUAAUCUCUAGGGGCCAUGAGAGUGGUGGCCCCCAGAAGGGCACUGAGACAAGGGCCCUAGUCCUACGGGAUGCAGCAGGCGCGAAACCUCUACAAUGCCCGCAAGGGUGAUAGGGGAACUCCGAGUGGCGUCAACUUAGUUGGCGUCUUUUGCCAAGUGUACAAAGCUUGGCGAAUAAGGGUGUGGGAAAGACUGGUGGCAGCCGCCGCGGUAACACCAGCGCCUCGAGUGGUACCCACGAAUACUGGGCCUAAAGCGUCCGUAGCCGGCUUGAUAAGUCCUCUGUGAAAUAGUGGGGCUUAACCCUACUGCGCGCAGGGGAUACUGUUGAGCUUGGGAACGGGGGAGGUCGGGAGUACAUCCGGGGUAGGGGUAAAAUCCGUUGAGCCUGGAUGGACUACCAGUGGCGAAGGCGCCCGGCCAAAACGUGUCCGACGGUGAGGGACGAAAGCUGGGGGAGCGAACGGGAUUAGAUACCCCGGUAGUCCCAGCUGUAAAUGAUGCGGACUGUGGUGUUGCUUCAGAGUUAAUCUGCAGCAGUGCUGUAGCGUAG
rnacentral:rRNA from 1 species